AUUGAACGCUGGCGGCAUGCUUUACACAUGCAAGUCGAACGGUAACAGGCCGCAAGGUGCUGACGAGUGGCGAACGGGUGAGUAAUGCAUCGGAACGUGCCCAGCCGUGGGGGAUAACUACUCGAAAGAGUAGCUAAUACCGCAUACGAUCUAUGGAUGAAAGCGGGGGACCGUAAGGCCUCGCGCGAUUGGAGCGGCCGAUGUCAGAUUAGGUAGUUGGUGGGGUAAAGGCUCACCAAGCCAACGAUCUGUAGCUGGUCUGAGAGGACGACCAGCCACACUGGGACUGAGACACGGCCCAGACUCCUACGGGAGGCAGCAGUGGGGAAUUUUGGACAAUGGGCGCAAGCCUGAUCCAGCAAUGCCGCGUGCAGGAAGAAGGCCUUCUGGUUGUAAACUGCUUUUGUACGGAACGAAACGGCUCUGGUUAAUACCCGGGGCUAAUGACGGUACCGUAAGAAUAAGCACCGGCUAACUACGUG
rnacentral:rRNA from 1 species